AUUGAACGCUGGCGGCAUGCUUUACACAUGCAAGUCGAACGGCAGCGCGGGCUUCGGCCUGGCGGCGAGUGGCGAACGGGUGAGUAAUACAUCGGAACGUGCCCAGUAGUGGGGGAUAGCUCGGCGAAAGCCGGAUUAAUACCGCAUACGACCUGAGGGUGAAAGCGGGGGAUCUUCGGACCUCGCGCUAUUGGAGCGGCCGAUGGCAGAUUAGCUAGUUGGUGGGGUAAAGGCCUACCAAGGCGACGAUCUGUAGCUGGUCUGAGAGGACGAACAGCCACACUGGGACUGAGACACGGCCCAGACUCCUACGGGAGGCAGCAGUGGGGAAUUUUGGACAAUGGGCGAAAGCCUGAUCCAGCAAUGCCGCGUGUGUGAUGAAGGCCUUCGGGUUGUAAAGCACUUUUGGCGGGAACGAAAAGGACUGUGCCAAUACCACGGUUCGAUGACGGUACCCGCAGAAUAAGCACCGGCUAACUACGUG
rnacentral:rRNA from 1 species